GACGAACCGAGCGAACGUUGUUCGGAAUCACUGGGCUUAAAGGGCGCGUAGGCGGGUUCUCAAGUCCGGGGUGAAAUCCCACAGCUCAACUGUGGAACUGCCUCGGAUACUGGGGGUCUCGAGGGUGGUAGGGGUAUGCGGAACUAUCGGUGGAGCGGUGAAAUGCGUUGAUAUCGAUAGGAACUCCGGUGGCGAAGGCGGCAUACUGGACCACAUCUGACGCUGAGGCGCGAAAGCCAGGGGAGCAAACGGG
rnacentral:rRNA from 1 species